CCUACGGGUGGCAGCAGUGAGGAAUAUUGGUCAAUGGGCUUACGCCUGAACCAGCCAAGUCGCGUGAGGGAAGACUGCCCUAUGGGUUGUAAACCUCUUUUGUCAGGGAGCAAUUGGCGCUACGUGUAGCGUUAUCGAGAGUACCUGAAGAAAAAGCAUCGGCUAACUCCGUGCCAGCAGCCGCGGUAAUACGGAGGAUGCGAGCGUUAUCCGGAUUUAUUGGGUUUAAAGGGUGCGUAGGCGGUCGGAUAAGUUAGAGGUGAAAUCCCGAGGCUCAACUUCGGAAUUGCCUCUGAUACUGUUCGGCUAGAGAGUAGUUGCGGUAGGCGGAAUGUAUGGUGUAGCGGUGAAAUGCUUAGAGAUCAUACAGAACACCGAUUGCGAAGGCAGCUUACCAAGCUACUUCUGACGUUGAGGCACGAAAGCGUGGGGAGCAAACAGGAUUAGAUACCCGAGUAGUC
rnacentral:rRNA from 1 species